UAUCUGAUACAGGGCUGGCUGCAAUUGCUGAAGGUUGCUCUCUUCAAAAGUUAAACUUGUGCGGGUGCCAAUUAAUCACUGAUAAUGGACUGGCUGCCAUUGCGAGAGGAUGUGGUGAUCUUGUCUUUCUGGACAUAAGUGUUCUCCCGGUACAUACUUUGACACUGAAUUUACUGUACUAUCAAUCAUCCAAAAAUUGAGUAUGAGAAUGGCCUUUAGUUCACUUCUUCAAACAUCAAACUAGGUUUGGGAAACAGUCGAAAACUGGCUGGUAAGACCAUUUAGCUUGAUUUCACAAGGAGAAAAUGUGCUCCUCGUGAUUUGAUCGGACCCAUGGUCUUUCGUGGUGUGGGAAACCUGUUAAUAAAGUGCCCUAACACAAGUCAUUAGGAGUCUGAAUUAAAAUUAUGUCCAUUUUUACCUGAAGAAAGCAGAAUGGCAGUAUGAUGCUAGACCUUGACUGGAUACAACCCAGAAUUCAGUCUUACAUCCAGGUUCUGUUAUAUAGGAAACUUCAAGAGUACCUUGUCUUCAUAAUUGUUGGGUUUAGAUUUACAAGUUAAAUAUACUCCCUCCGAUUCGAAUUAAUUGACGCAGCCUCUAUACAAUGUAAAUUUUAAAAACAGUGAAACAUAAAAAAGUAUAUGUAAACAAACAAACAAACAAAAGUUUUUGUAGCUCAGGAAAAUAUGACAGAAUUUGAGAUAUUAAUAUGAGCUGUUCAAAUAUGAAGUAUGUUGGUCAUCAAAAGGAAAAUGAAGUAUGUCAUGAUAUGAACUCUUCUGCAUCACCCAACAUAGAAAUGUUGCCUUGCAUGCAAGGGAUCAACAACGCCUCAGUAAGUCUGGUUGCCCUCAACGUGAGGGAACAGCAGCGUCUUGUGUAAGUGUAGGUAUUCAAAAUUUUAAGCCACUGAACUGGAACCGGCACUGUGAAGGAAUCCAGCGCUAAUCUUGAUAGAUUGUGUUUAUUUUUGAAGAAGUGGAAAGGUCCAUGUUACAGUUAUUUUGUACCCAGUCCUCCAUCUUUAGUAAAAGCUUGCACUAUUUUCGUAUUGUAUUAUCUUUGUUGAUGAUUUGGUUGCAAACUGCAGAUGACAGGGGACAUGGGGCUGGCAGAGAUUGGCCAAGGCUGCCCCCAGAUUAAAGACAUUGCACUCUCGCACUGCCCAGGGGUCACCGAUGUUGGUCUGGGACACCUGGUCAGGGGGUGCUUACAGCUGCAGUCAUGCCAGCUGGUGUACUGCAAGCGAGUGACCAGCACCGGAGUGGCGACCGUCGUCUCGAGCUGCUCUAGGUUGAAGAAGCUCCUCGUUGAGGAGGCAAAGGUCAGUGAGAGGACACGUCGGAGGGCAGGACCCAUCUUAUCAUUCCUCUGCUCUGGGCUUUAGCUUUAGCUUCAAAAGAGAGGGAGAGAGAGAAAAAUGUUGUUGUAUAAAACUCCUUUGUUGUUUUACAAAGCGGCUGCAGUUUAAACCUUACAGUACCUUGAGCAAAACAAAGAAAGAAAGAAAGAAAUUGUUGUAUGAAACUCAAAAUUGUUGAACC
rnacentral:lncRNA from 1 species